rnacentral:rRNA from 1 species
AUCAACUUUCGAUGGUAGGAUAGAGGCCUACCAUGGUGGUAACGGGUAACGGGGUGUUAGGGCACGACACCGGAGAGGGAGCCUGAGAAACGGCUACCACAUCCAAGGAUGGCAGCAGGCGCGCAAAUUACCCAAUCCCGACACGGGGAGGUAGUGACAAUAAAUAACAAUACGGGGUUCUUUAGGAUCUCGUAAUCGGAAUGAGUACAAUUUAAAUCUCCUAACGAGGAACAAUUGGAGGGCAAGUCUGGUGCCAGCAGCCGCGGUAAUUCCAGCUCCAAUAGCGUAUAUUAAAGUUGUUGCAGUUAAAAAGCUCGUAGUUGAAUUUCGGGGUUAGUAGGUUGGUCAUGCCUCCGGUAUGUACUGAUCUCACUGAUUCCUCCUUCCUUAUGAACCGUAAUGCCAUUAAUUUGGUGUUGCGGGGAAUUUGGACUGUUACUUUGAAAAAAUUAGAGUGUUUAAAGCAAGCUAACGCUUGAAUACAUUAGCAUGGAAUAAUGAAAUAGGACGUUCGAUCUUAUUUUGUUGGUUUCUAGGAUUGACGUAAUGAUUAUUAGGGAUAGUUGGGGGCAUUAGUAUUCAAUUGUCAGAGGUGAAAUUCUUGGAUUUAUUGAAGACUAACUACUGCGAAAGCAUUUGCCAAGGAUGUUUUCAUUAAUCAAGAACGAAAGUUAGGGGAUCGAAGACGAUCAGAUACCGUCGUAGUCCUAACCAUAAACCAUGCCCGACUAGGGAUCGGAUGAUGUUAAUUUUUUUAAUGACUCAUUCGGCGCCUUACGGGAAACCCAAAGUGUUUGGGUUC